UACAGGGGGGGCAAGCGUUGUUCGGAAUUACUGGGCGUAAAGGGUCUGUAGGUGGCCAACUAAGUCAGACGUGAAAUCCCUCAGCUUAACUGGGGAACUGCGUCUGAUACUGGAUGGCUUGAGUGUGGGAGAGGAAUGCGGAAUUCCAGGUGUAGCGGUGAAAUGCGUAGAUAUCUGGAGGAACACCGGUGGCGAAGGCGGCAUUCUGGACCAUUACUGACGCUGAGGAGCGAAAGCCAGGGGAGCAAAGCGGG
rnacentral:rRNA from 1 species